rnacentral:lncRNA from 1 species
UCGAUCAAACACCUUUCCCAAGGCCACCACUGGUUCCAUCACCACCCCCGCCGCCUCCUAUACUUCUUCCACCACCUUUGAUAAUUCCCCCACCAAUGCCACCCAUAGAUCCAUUCCCAUGGCUGUCCCCACCUGACAUGUUUCUUCCACCUCUGGAAGAUCCGUUCGCAUCAUAUUCACCACCACACAUCCUGUUGCCGCCGCCGAUGCCUCCAGAACUGCCGGGUAAUCCACAAGAGCCACUUCCAAUUCCAUUGGUCAAGCCGCCCGCAACAACGAGCUUUCAAGAACCAUGACCAACCACCUCCCUCCAAUUCCCCUCAUUUUAAAACUCACUCGUCCAUCUUUUUCUGUUCGAUUUAGGAGCUAAUGACUGAAAAUGAGAAAAUCCUGUAACUGACAUAUAUCUCAUUAGCUAGAUUUUCUCUAUGUUUUUUACUUUCCACGUUUCUGUCCAAAUAAUAAACAAAGUAUCUUGAAAGUUUUGAAAAUAGAUUUUUCUCCAUUUGUC